rnacentral:SRP_RNA from 1 species
GCUGGGUGUGGUGGCACGUGCCUGUAGAUCCAGCUACUUGGGAGGCUGAAGCUGGAGGAUCUCUUGAGUCCAGGAGUUCUGGGCUGCAGUGCACUGUGCCAAUUGGGUGUCCGCACUAAGUUCGGCAUCAAUAUGGUGACCUCCUGGGAGCAGGGGACCACCAGAUUGCCUAAGGAGGGGUGAAUUGGCCCAGGUCAGAAACGGAGCAGGUCAAAACUCCCAUACUGAUCAGUAGUGGGAUUACACCUGUUAAUAGCCACUGCACUCCAGCCUGGGCAACAUAGCAAGACCCCAUCUCUC